rnacentral:rRNA from 1 species
GCUUGUCUCAAAGAUUAAGCCACGCAUGUCUUAGUAUAAGCACCCUCAUACAUCGGAACUCCAUGCAUCUCAUUAUAUCAGCAAUUGUUUAUUUGAGGUCACCCGGCGUAAGUCGGGAUGUUUUAAUAAGCAAAGAAUCAAUAGCCACCCCGUGGUUUUUAUUGAUGAAUCAUGAUAAUAGUUCGAAUCGCACGGGGCAACCUGGCGAUAGUUCAUUCAAAUUUAUGCCCUAUCAGCUUUCGACGGUAAUAGUGGACUACCGUGGCGUUAACGGGUAACGGAGAAUCAGGAUUCGACUCCGGAGAGGGAGCCUGAGAAACGGCUGCCACAUCCAAGGAAGGCAGCAGG